rnacentral:rRNA from 1 species
GAUGAACGCUGGCGGCGUGCCUAAUACAUGCAAGUCGAGCGAACAGACGAGGAGCUUGCUCCUCUGACGUUAGCGGCGGACGGGUGAGUAACACGUGUAUAACCUACCUAUCAGACUGGGAUCACUUCGGGAAACCGGAGCUAAUACCGUAUAAUAUAUUGAACCGCAUGGUGCAAUAGUGAAAGACGGCUUUGCUGUCACUUAUAGAUGGAUCCGCGCCGCAUUAGAUAGUUGGUACGGUAACGGCCUACCAAGGCAACGAUGCGUAGCCGACCUGAGAGAGUGAUCGGCCGCACGGGAACGGAGACACGGUCCAGACUCCUGAGGGAGGCAGCAGUAGGGAAUCUUACGCAAUGGGCGAAAGCUUGGCGGAGCAACGCGGCGUGAGUGAUGAAGGUGUUCGGAUCGUAAAACUCUCUUAUUAGGGAAGAACCAAUGUGUAAGUAACUAUGCACGUCUUGACGGUACCUAAUCAGAAAGCAACGGCUAACUACGUG